rnacentral:rRNA from 1 species
UGGCAGUGGGGGGGGUGCUAUACAUGCAGUCGAGCGCAGGAAACCAGAUGACCCCUUCGGGGUGAUUCUGGCGGAAUGAGCGGCGGACGGGUGAGUAACACGUGGGCAACCUGCCUGUAAGACUGGGAUAACUUCGGGAAACCGGAGCUAAUACCGGAUAGUAUUUCCUUUCUCCUGAUCGGAAAUGGAAAGACGGUUUCGGCUGUCACUUACAGAUGGGCCCGCGGUGCAUUAGCUAGUUGGCGGGGUAAUGGCCCACCAAGGCGACGAUGCAUAGCCGACCUGAGAGGGUGAUCGGCCACACUGGGACUGAGACACGGCCCAGACUCCUACGGGAGGCAGCAGUAGGGAAUCUUCCGCAAUGGACGAAAGUCUGACGGAGCAACGCCGCGUGAGCGAUGAAGGCCUUCGGGUCGUAAAGCUCUGUUGUCAGGGAAGAACAAGUACAAGAGUAACUGCUUGUACCUUGACGGUACCUGACCAGAAAGCCCCGGCUAACUACGUGCCAGCAGCCGCGGUAAUACGUAGGGGGCAAGCGUUGUCCGGAAUUAUUGGGCGUAAAGGGCGCGUAGGCGGUUUCUUAAGUCUGAUGUGAAAGCCCACAGCUUAACUGUGGAGGGUCAUUGGAAACUGGGGAACUUGAGUGCAGAAGAGGAGAGUGGAAUUCCACGUGUAGCGGUGAAAUGCGUAGAUAUGUGGAGGAACACCAGUGGCGAAGGCGACUCUCUGGUCUGUAACUGACGCUGAGGCGCGAAGCGUGGGGAGCGAACAGGAUUAGAUACCCUGGUAGUCCACGCCGUAAACGAUGAGUGCUAGGUGUUAGGGGGUUUCCGCCCCUUAGUGCUGAAGU